ensembl:lncRNA
GAAAAGUCUGAUUUCUUUGUUGUAAUGAGUGCCCUUUGAAAAGCAGAUGAUGUCAAAAGAAUGACUGUAAAAGUUCAUUUUUCUGUAUCUGACACGAGUUCAGUGAGUGCAGACCUCAGCUUACUGCAGCUCAUACCAUUAGGAUUACUAGUUAAGAUCCAAAUGCUGGUCAAGCGUGAUGUCCCUGCUCAUGACUGCAUGACUUCCACUGAAAACCAUUGAGUCACAUGAAUAUUGGAUGAAAAAUUCAUCCUGCAGAAUCUGUAGUACAGCUUGGGAUGCUCUUGGUAAGAUGUGAUGUAUCUGUCGUGAUUUACAGGUCCCAGGGAGUCUACUCUCCCAGACAGUAAGAAACUGAGAAGCAAAAAUCAGAUAGAGUUGCCCUUCCUUUGUAAAAAGACUUGUCCAGUGCAGAGCUGCAGUCCUGUGAAUCCAGCAGUGGUUGCAGCUGUGGACAGGAAAUGAAGGGAGAAAACCUAGUGUAUUGAAUGUAUGGCCAAUAAUAGAGGGAAAGCUAAAAUGAAUAAAUAGUUUGGAAGAUAACCCAGCAAAGAGCACAGAGGUAGAAAAAGGUUUUAACUUGGGCUUAGGGAUUAAAAGAGGAUCUACAUAUCUGUCUUAAAGUCAUUCACAUGAUUUGCUUGCAGGGUGAAAUACUGUGCUGAAGUCAGUGUACAAACUUUCCCAAAAGUUGUGAAUAUGUGAAAUUUAUGGAAAAUGAGCUCAAUGGGAAGGAGAAGCUGAGGGAACAGGAGUGACUGUAAUCACCUGGGAAAAGCUGAAAAUGAAAAGUCACUGCAAAGAUGGCAGCUGCUGUGAGACAGAGCUGAGCUGGAGAGACCUUUAAUCCCACCUUGCUAUUGUUGCAGCAGAGUUUCUCCAGCCUGUGGCAUCUUCAUCUGAAUUAAAUAUUAAACCCCCAGGCUUUUUUGGUUCCCUGAAUUGGCAACCUGGCAGGUAGAGGGCCUUCGAAGAGAUGGAAAUGGAGGGUUUGGGGCUGACACAACUUGAGUGGUGGUGGUAGUUCAUGCUGUUCCCAAAAUGUGUCUUGAACCUUUACGUACAGGAAACAUAACUUCACCCCUGACAGUAGCAUGUGGGAAAAUGUAAACUUACACAGUUAGUCUUUGGUUCUUCAGCCUUUGUAGUUAUGAACACUAUAAAAAGUAGAGUGUGAGAUUUGGAAAAGGGUUUUAUGUCAACAAGACCUAGGGACCCAUAGGUGAUUAUUUGUGGUGGGUAAGCAAAAUAGUUAACUGAAUGUGUCUCUAGACUUCCUACCCUCAAAGUGUGCAGGAAAGCUCUGCAUGUCUUUUCAAGCUGUGUUUUUUUUUUCCAGUUGCAGACUGGGAGACAACAGUGCAUUGUUUAACCUCAUACCUAUUUCUGGGAAGUUACAACAAAAUAGGAGCUGGGAGUAAAAGCUCUCUGAGAAGUGCAUAUUUGAUUCUGGGACAGAAAUCUGCAGUUGGGUUUGAAUUCCACAGGAGAGGCUGCUGCCACCGAUACCGCAAAAUGAGGAUCUGGAGCGUACAGAGGAGAGAGGGUGGCUGCUUCCCAGGAUUUCCUGUAUUUCAUUCCUUGCCUGUAAUUAAUUAUAGUAACAUUAUGAAAUUCUAGUCUUUGUAGUGGCUUUAUCAAAACUCCUACCAAUUCCCAGCACAGUGAAACUUUUCUUACGAAUUUAACCUCUGUAUUUGCUCUGUGAGUGGGAACCUCUGAUGCUUGCCAGUUUCCGUCCCUCUGGUGAUUUUGCAAAGUGUAAUCAUUGUAAAAUGCAAUUGCUUAAUAUGUAGCUCAUUCACUAAAACCCCAAGGAUAAGAGGCAGUGAGUAAUGCGAGUCAUUACCAGAGCAAUAGUUUCUAAAGAGAUGAAGAGUCAUGCAUCACAUAUCAAUCAAUUUAGACUUAAAUGAAGAAUUUAUAAAAAUCACUGGUCAGAUGUGAUCGAUAUCGUUCCCAGGCAAAUUAAAGUAGCUUCCCUGGAGUCAUGCGCUGCUUCUGAUGUUUCU